GUGGUCUGGUGGUGAGUUGUGCCUUUCCUUCUCCCCAGAGAUGAAUGCUGUUUUGGGGUGUUGCCAUGGUAACGCACAGUAAUACUCCGACCUGCCUGCAUGCCAGAGGAACAAUCUGCCUCCCAACUCCUUCCCUCCCUCUCCCCUAACGAAGUGCCGUUGGACCGGUGAGGAGAAUUUGAUCUCCCUACUGGCCCAAGAAGUCACAGAGUAAGAUCAGCUCUGCAUGGGCCGGAAAGGUAGAUUAAAGGAUCUCCCCUCUCGGCCUUGGUGCCUAGUCAUCAGGGUGGGGCCCAAUGCUUGUGGGGCUCAUGGGCAACUGCCUAGCUUGCCAAUGCAGAAAGACGACCUUGGCCAAGACCGAAAUAGUUAAACAUUAUAGUGUCAGGAAUACAUGUUAGUGAUAUAGAAAAGAUAGUAGUUGCACAGAAUAGCCGUCCAGUAGAGGCAGUAAAGAGCUGUGAAAUAGUAGUAGAUGCAUGGAACAGUAUUACAGUGGAAGUAGAAAAGGCUAAUAGCGGGUAGUAAGUACUUGGAAACCUACCAGUGGAAGCAGGAAAAUAACAGAAUAAUACUAAUGAUGUGCACACAGUAUCCUGAAGAACAAUUAAGGAAUAUGGAGAUUUCCUACUGGGUGGAGGAGGUAGACCCAGGCUGGAUUUACCAUUCCAUUCCUCCCAACAUUGCAAAUGGACAAAGAUGGACUCUUUAAAUGUAGGGGUGUGAGUGUGGGUGUGGGUUUUAUGUACAGAUUUUAUGGGGUUUCGGAAAGUUACAGGGACAAAUAUAGGGAUUGUAAAUUUAAUUCUAAAUGUAUUUAUGUAUUUUUUUAACACAAUGUGUUUUUAUUAAUUAUAAUUCCUGACAACCCAGACAGUCACCCUGCAGGCCAUCUAUCAAUCAUGCUGAUCCAAGUCAUGUGAUUGCGGUGUCGUUGAAAUCACAUGACUGUAGUUGGCGGGAUUGGCUGUAGAGGGACUGGCUGCGUUGUCAGGCAGUCCCCCCAAUCUGAUGCGGCUAGCAGGGUAAGUAUCCUGUCUGGAGAAGGUCCUAUGCGUGCUAUGCAGCCCUAACAGCUUUAUUAAUUAUUAUUAUUGGUAUUUAUAUUACGCCAACUAAUUCCACAGUGCUUUACAGUAUUAUGAAAGGGAGGGAAAUUUACAAUAAAUGAGACAAUUACACAGUGACACAGGAACAAUAGGUAAUUGAGGGCAAUGCUCAAACGAGCUUACAGUCUCUAGAGGAGGUGGGGUACAAAUACACAACAGGGCAGCAAGGGUGACAGCCACCACACAAGGUGGAAAAGUAGCAGAGCUGGAGGUGAGAAUGGAGUGUGGCUCUUUAGGAAGAGACAGAUAUGGAUAGGUAUAGAUAAGUUACUCUGGGAGUCCAUUAGCACUUUAAAGCCCUCAUAGCACGCCUUAGCUUCAGGAAGUGGUUAAAGACACAUUAAGACACAUUACUGGGAGUAUUAUUUCUGUGGAGCUCUGUUAUACACUCGGACACAUUACUGGGAGUAUUAUUGCUGUGGAGCUCUGUUAUACACUCGGACACAUUACUGGGAGUAUUAUUGCUGUGGAGCUCUGUUAUACACUCGGACACAUCACUGGGAGUAUUAUUGCUGUGGAGCUCUGUUAUACACUCGGACACAUCACUGGGAGUAUUAUUGCUGUGGGGCUCUGUUAUACACUCGGACACAUCACUGGGAGUAUUAUUGCUGUGGAGCUCUGUUAUACACUCACACACAUCACUGGGAGUAUUAUUACUUUGGGGCUCUGUUAUACACUCAGACACAUUACUGGGAGUAUUAUUGCUGUGGAGCUAUGUUAUACACUCAGACACAUUACUGGGAGUAUUAUUGCUGUGG